CCAUUAAUCUCUUCUUCCCCUUUCAAGAUGAAUGCCCGGCACCUGUGAUUCAUAGCAGCAAACACCAAUUUGGGAAAUUAGAGGACAGAGAGAACAUGGAGAGGGAGCGCCAUGAGCACCGAGCGAGUAAAAUGAGCCUUCCGCCAGUGGUGAGAAGCUUUGGUUUCCAUCCUUUGAGCUUGCCAUAGAAUUUCUCUAUCAACGGCCAGAGAUCAGUCUUCCGAAGACAGCGAAUCGAAAGAGGGAGACCCAGCUGAUGGGAGUGACCGAGCUCUUCUGGAGAUUAAUCCGGAGACCUGACGAGUCAGCGAAGAGGCCAAGAAUCUCUGAAAUGACCGCAAGGUCGGAGGACACAGGGCGAACAAAUAUCACUGCAUCGUCAGCGUAAAUAGAGACUCUAGGGAUGCCGCAAUUGAGGCCCAAAUCAGAUAGCAAGCCAUGGUUGACAGCCCAUUGUAGAGUAGCGUGAAGAGCAUCCAUUGCGAGAAUAAAGAGGGCCGGAGAUAAUGGGUCUUCCUGACGAACUCCCCGAACAAGCUGGAUUUCUAACCUCAUUCAGCAUUCUGUGAAGCUCGUUUCUAGCCUCAGUAAUACGCUCUGUACCCAUGCCGUCAACAACAAAGAUAAGGCCCUUUGUGUUCUAGAAGUAGUGCCUCCACGAAGGUCUUAUCUGUUUGGAAAAUGGCACGGAUAAAUGAUAAGCUUAACUUUAUUACCAUCUUAAGGGCUUUGCACACCAAGUCAAUCUUCAAA